UACGAAGGGUGCUAGCGUUGUUCGGAAUCACUGGGCGUAAAGCGUGCGUAGGUGGCUUGGCAAGCCAAGGGUGAAAUCCCGGAGCUUAACUCCGGAAUUGCCUUUGGAACUGCUUGGCUAGAGGAUAUUAGAGGUAAGUGGAAUUUCUAGUGUAGGAGUGAAAUCCGUAGAUAUUAGAAGGAACAUCGACUGCGAAGGCAGCUUACUGGGAUAUUUCUGACACUGAGGCACGAAAGCGUGGGGAUCAAACAGG
rnacentral:rRNA from 1 species